rnacentral:lncRNA from 1 species
UGCUUCUAUCACACUCCAGUGCCUUCAAGCAGGUUUUUCCCCCCAUAUUUUACCUAAAGCUUAUAGCUGUUACCUGUGGAAAGGUUGGUUCAGUGGGGGCUAUUCUGCCAUUACCAAAAGUUGUGUCCUGUUCUCUACUUUUUAAUUGGCUGGAAAAGAGGCAUAAACUUGGAGAACCCAAGACCCCGGCCCAGCGUGCAGCCCCAGCAGCCAGACCAGUCUUGGGCAACAGUGUGCGAUGUUCAGCUGUCUGCGUCUCCAGUGUUCCUAUUUCAUCGCAUCUGAGUGAGGGAUUUGGGAGGUAAAACAGGGCUGAGCGUGCGUUCGAGCUUCUCCUGCAUCAUGAGCAGGAUGCUCUGGGACACCUUGUCCACGUCUGUGUCCACCAGUCCUGCUCAGAAUCUCCUCAGGGGCUUUUCCACAAUGCCCAUCCAGGCGUCACCCUCACUCUAGGCCAGGAGGAGACGCCAUGCCCUGAGGAUUCAGCCUCUUCUUCUUCAUCCCUCCCAGCGCCCAGUGUGUUGGGUGCACACAUUAUGGUUCCAAACCAGAGUUUCCCUAGGAAAUAAACACGGAGGGGCUGAAAGGACCUGGGGCCAUCGAGAGUGGAUGGCCAUAUCCAGGAGCCUUGAUGCCAGUGCCAACUGUUCCCUGCACGCUUCCACAUCCACGCCAACAUUGCAAGGCUAUGUCACAGACUGGAACAGCUACAGUGAUGACACACCUGAGGUAAACACAACUCCAGCAGCAUCCUGGCCCCUCAUGGGGCAAGUGCACAUGGAAUCUGGAAACUUCACAGCUGAGCCUACAAAGGUGCUCAUGGCACUCAGAAGGAUUUCUGGAUCCAGUGGUAGGAAGUCAUUUCAAGCAGCUUGUGAACAUUCACAGUAGCAGCUCAGGAUCAUCCUGCUGCUUCUUAGAGCAGGUGUCGGGCCCCAGGCUGGAGGCCACAUGCCAGGCUGGCAGGAUUUGUCCACUGUGAAGCUCAACACUCCCGCAGGCCCUGUGCUGCCCGCCCAGAUCCCCCUGCCUCAGGAUACCCUCCACACCCUCCGAAUUCCCAGCUGCUGCUCUGGGGCCCGCACGGAGGGCUUGGGCCCAGCAUCUGAAAGCUCCAAAGAGGCAAACGGGGUCAUGUCCAGGUUUUGUCAGAUCGCUUCCGAGGCUGCCCUCUUCACCGUGGCUGCCGAGUGCAGAGGUGGGCAUCUGAGUGGACAGAGUGCUGCUUGGCUUCCUUGCAUCUCCUGAGCCAUGCGUGGUGACCUAUGCCCACUGCAUUGCUCCUGUGUGCCCUGCACAUGCGACCGUGUCUUUCCCGUGUAUUCAGUGCUGCUUCGAGUCUUCCAGUUCUGCUUUGUGGUUUGUGAGCGACCAGUGCAUCCAGUUCCUGCUGCAGCAGCUGCAAUGUGCACUGUCCUGCAGGAAGCCCUCGGGGUGGGGCCUGGGGGCUGUGGGAAGCUCAGCAACAAGGUACAGAAAUGGGCAGCUUUGUUUCAUUUAUUUAUUUAUUUUUACUAUUUAAUCAUCUCACCUUAUUACACUUUAAUUAAAAUAUCGAUCUUUACACAAUACACUUGAACUGUGGAAUAAAGCAGGACCAGAUGUGGA